GAUGAAGAACGUAGCGAAAUGCGAUAAGUAAUGUGAAUUGCAGAAUUCAGUGAAUCAUCGAAUCUUUGAACGCACAUUGCGCCCGCCAGUAUUCUGGCGGGCAUGCCUGUCUGAGCGUCAUUUCAACCCUCAUGCCCCUAGGGCGUGGUGUUGGGGAUCGGCCAAAGCCCGCGAGGGACGGCCGGCCCCUAAAUCUAGUGGCGGACCCGUCGUGGCCUCCUCUGCGAAGUAGUGAUAUUCCGCAUCGGAGAGCGAUGAGCCCCUGCCGUUAAACCCCCAACUUUCCAAGGUUGACCUCAGAUCAGGUAGGAAUACCCGCUGAACUUAAGCAUAUCAAUAAGCAGAGG
rnacentral:misc_RNA from 1 species